UUGGCAGUUCCAAGACUUUUUAGAGAAUAUUCACAGAAUCACAGAAUUGUAGGUGUUGGAAGGGACCUCAAGAGGUCAUCGGGUCCAACCCCCAUAUUGUUUCAUUGCAUAUCAAAACAUUUGAUAGGAGAAGCACCAUCAUACUAAACAUUCUGACAAUAUAAUUGUCUGCAAUCAAACAGCCUGCUGGAGGAAAAAGGGAUCUGAAUUUUGAGUAAUUAAAAAGAUGGUUAUCUAAUCCCUCAAGAGCACUUAAGGACAGUAAGACUAUGAAGAGACAGAGAACAACAACUGAAGUUCCACCGCAAGCUAAAAACAGCCAUGAGAGGGUGAAAAUACCAGAUAAUACUGAAAGCAUUUUCUUAGAAAAUGAAGACACGGGAUCAACUUUUUGA
rnacentral:lncRNA from 1 species